rnacentral:lncRNA from 1 species
AAAAACAACCAAAAACAUUCCUACACCAUUUCAGCCAUAUACAGCGUUGAACCUCUUACACCAGGUUUAAACUACGCAGACCUGAUCUACUCUUCAAUAGGAGUACGUAGGCAGCCAUUCAUGGUGCGGCCUCACCCCCUACCAAAACACAAAUCCUUGUCAGUUGGUACUGGGAUCAAACUUCAAUCCACUACAUUUCAUUUGGCUUCAGACCAAAGGGAUGGAAUUACCUGAACUCCUCCCAAAUAGGAGAUUCGACGACCAUCUAAGCUGCGGUCAUACCUUGAAGAGCAACACCAAUCCAUAAGAGAUGGAAUUAACUAGGCUUCUCCUAAAUGGAAGUACUGGCGACCAUUUGUGGUACGGUCAAUCUCAAAGAGGAAAGCCAUACUCCUCUCCACAUCUCCAUCCAUAAACCAGUCCCAAGACACCAAAGAUGGUAGGGAUACAUAGAUCGAUGAUCCAUUCUGAACUAUCCA